ensembl:lncRNA
AUAUUUUCAGGCAGCUAUUGAGCUUUUCUAGAGGAAGAGCUGAUGAAAAGAGUCACAGCUGAAUAGUGGAGAGAAAAAGCCCGGUAUUUAUUGCUUUUGUUUGGCUUUUGGCUACAGAGACAGGAACCUUCUAAUGGGCCACCUCGUUCCACACUACAAAGACCCAGAGGACACCGGACCACCAGACCACUGUACUGGAAUUGACAGUGCAGUGAAGCUCUGGUCCAGUGGAGUAGAACACCUGCAGACCCACAGGUGAAGAGAGAGGGACCAAGGGAUGAAGGCCCUGGAAGAGUAAAAACAGAGUAAAGUUUUACAGAGUAAAACAGUACAAGAAAGAAUCACAUACUGUAAUUGAUCCACCAUGGAACUCAGCAGAGGAAAUCAUCACAAGAUCCAUCACAUUGUGAGCAAAGACAUGAGAGACAUAUGAAAGAUUCUGGGUAUAAAAGCACCCAGGAGAAGGCUGGCACUCAACUCGUCACUUCCUCUUUCCCUUUCCUGCAUCCUUUUCCUGUCAGGCUGGAUAAAGAAGAUGGCAAAGAUAAAGGAGCUCCAGUCAUCUCCUUCACCUUGGACAUACAUCUUCUGGCUAUCAUCUCAGACCAUUCAGCCUUCCAUUGCAGGCCCUUCAGCUUCCUGAUGUGGACUCAUAUAGGACACUACAGUGAGCUCCAGGUUUUGGGCUUUUUCUGGAUCUUUGGAAUCUCCAGCAUGCAGACAGCCCUUUUUCACUCGUCCACACCUGGCUCUGCAGG